GGCCUGGUGGUGUAGUUGGUUAUCACGUUCGCCUCACAUUCAUCUGAUGUCAGAUAGGACGCGAAAGGUCCCGAGUUCCCAAGAUGCGGGUACAAGGUCU
rnacentral:tRNA from 1 species